UUAGAUCAUGUGUGUGAACCAC
rnacentral:siRNA from 1 species